CUAAACCUCACACUGGAAAGGAGUCUCUCUAAGUCUGAAGUGGCUGGAUAGACUACGAUUCCAUUUUGAACUCCUGACUUAGACAAAUACACUGUGUUCAUAAGUCAAACCACACUAUCAAAUUGAGAACCUUCCCAGCACUUCAGCUGAAGGCAGAAGGAGUUUUUUGGGAACAAAGACAGAGAAAGAACACUAGGUUUCCUGACAAGCACAACCACAAGACUACUUUUAGUUCAGCCUUCACAGCAUUUAUUUCCCACUUUACACAAAUGUCAA